UACGUAGGUGGCAAGCGUUGUCCGGAUUUACUGGGCGUAAAGGGCGCGUAGGCGGCCACGACAAGUCAGUUGUGAAAUCUCUGGGCUUAACUCAGAGCGGUCAACUGAUACUGUCGGGCUAGAGUGCAGAAGGGGCAACUGGAAUUCUCGGUGUAGCGGUGAAAUGCGUAGAUAUCGAGAGGAGCACCUGCGGCGAAGGCGGGUUGCUGGGCUGACACUGACGCUGAGGCGCGAAAGCUAGGGGAGCGAACGGG
rnacentral:rRNA from 1 species